rnacentral:rRNA from 1 species
UACGGAGGGGGCUAGCGUUGUCCGGAAUCAUUGGGCGUAAAGAGCGUGUAGGCGGCGCGGUAAGUCGGGUGUGAAAUCUCGGAGCUUAACUCCGAAACUGCAUUCGAUACUGCCGUGCUUGAGGACUGGAGAGGAGACUGGAAUUUACGGUGUAGCGGUGAAAUGCGUAGAUAUCGUAAGGAAGACCAGUGGCGAAGGCGGCUUUCUGGUCUGUAACUGACGCUGAGGCGCGAAAGCGUGGGGAGCAAACAGG